GGUAUUGAAAUAAGAUUUUAAAUGAGUGCUAAGAGAAUGAUUAAACAAUUAAAAGCUUUCUUUAAUUAAAAAAUUAAAUUUAAUUUUUUUAGUGCAAAAGCAAAAAUAAAAUUUAGGGACAAGAAGACCCUAUGAAUUUUUAUUGUUAAUAAUUAAAAUUUAAAUUAUUAAUAAUUUAAUUGGGGCGAUAAAAAAAGAAUAAGUAUCUUUUUAGUUAUAAAAUAAGUUCCGUUUUUAGCGAUUAAAUGAAAUAAAUACUCUAGGGAUAACAGCGUAAUAA
rnacentral:rRNA from 1 species